rnacentral:rRNA from 1 species
AUGUCGGCCACACGUCCAUCGCCGGUAGCUUCCGAUAAGUUCUACCGCCAACUACCGCUGACUGCUCGCCGUUUCUUUCUUUCACUUGUCUCAAGCCCUCCCGUUUCCACCCACGCCGUCGAUCGGCCGUUGGACGCCACCGGCGACAUGGAUCCCCUCCGCCUGCUCCUCCCCCGCGUCCAGGCCCAGCCAUUGCUCCCGCUCCCCGCCGGCGUCCCAGCGCCGAGCGUCAGGCCCCGCCUCGUCCCGCGGCGACGGGCGCGCCGCCACCGCAACGGGGCCGCACGGAUGCUGCCGGCGUCGGCCGUGGCGUCCGAGUCGCCGUGGACGGAGCAGGAUCCGGCGUCCGGGGAGAAGGAGGAGCGGUUCGACUGGCUGGACCAGUGGUACCCUUUCGCCCCCGUGGAGGACCUGGACCCCGGCGCGCCGCACGGCAAGAUGGUGCUGGGCAUCCGCGUGGUGGCCUGGUACGACCGCGGCGCCGGCGAGUGGCGCGUGUUCGAGGACGCGUGCCCGCACCGCCUCGCGCCGCUCUCGGAGGGCCGCAUCGACGACAAGGGCCGGCUCCAGUGCGUGUACCACGGCUGGUGCUUCGACGGCCGCGGCGCCUGCAAGUUCAUCCCGCAGGCCCCCGCCCUCGGCCCCCCGGUGCACACCAACAGCAAGGCGUGCGUGGCGUCGUACCCGUGCGUGGUGCAGAACAAGCUCCUCUGGUUCUACCCGCGCGCCGGGCCGGAGCACAGCGACGUGCUGCAGAGGAAGCGGCCGCCGUUCAUCCCGGAGAUCGACGACCCGUCCUUCGUCACCUCCUUCUUGAUAAGGGACAUGCCUUUCGGGUACGAUGUGUUGGCGGAGAACCUCAUGGACCCUUCUCACGUGCCCUACGCGCACAAAGGCUUGUUCCGCGGCCUCCCCAGGCUCGUAGACCCCGGCAGAGAGGAGUACGACGAAGAAGGCGGCGUGCCGAUGGCGGUGCAGGUGGAGGAGUCGAGCGUGAACGGGUACGCCUCGUCGCAGGGCCCCGGCUACUCCAAGUUCGUCGCGCCUUGCACGUACUACGGAUCGCCGGCGUCCAAGAAAUCAGAGAAGAACAAGCCUCACCUCAUGAUCGUGUUCAUCAUCGUCCCGGUCGCUCCGGGGAGGAGCAGGGUGAUGUGGGCCUACCCGAGGAACUUCGGCCUCUGGCUGCACAAGAUCACGCCGCGGUGGUUCGACCACAUCGGCGUCAACGUCGUCUUGGAUUCCGACAUGUACCUCCUCCACCUCGAGGAGCGCAAUUUCGCCAAGGCGGGCAUCGAGAACUGGCAGAAGAGCGUGUACGUGCCCACGACGUCGGACGGCACCGUCGUCGCCUUCAGGAACUGGUUCAGGAAGCACUGCGGGUUCCAGGUCGGCUGGGCGGCCCCGACGGUCGACCAGCUGCCGCCGACCCCCACCAAGGACAAGCUCAUGGACAGGUACUGGUCGCACGUCGCGCAGUGCACGAGCUGCAGCGCCGCACUCAAGGCCAUGAAGGCGCUGGAGGUCGCCCUGCAGGUGGCGUCGAUCGCCGUCGUCGGGCUCCUCGCGGUGGCCAAGGGGACGCUGCUCACGUCCGUCGCCCAGCGGGCCGCCGUCGUGUCCGCGGCCGUCCUCUGCUUCGUGGCGUCCCGGUGGCUCGCCGACUUCAUCCAGAAGAAAUUCUAUUUUGAGGAUUAUGUCCAUGCUUACAAAUGA